CGAUCGACUAAGAAGGGAAGAGUAUCUGAUUCCUACUUAACGAAGCGAGCUAGGGGCGGUGGGAGCCUAGUGUUAAGCAAUCAGAGAAGAUCGCCCCUGAGUCCCGUGCUGAACGAUAAGUAAGCCCCGGCGGAUCAUUCACGUUACGAAUGCAAAGUGAGCGCAACAUGCGCUUAAGUUGGGUGGUACCACGGGAAAAACCUUCUCGUCCCUUUU
rnacentral:ncRNA from 1 species